UGUCUCCUCCACCCUCCUCCAAAGGUGGAUUCAGCCCAGGGCCUCACGGCCUUGGGCUUUUUUAU
rnacentral:ncRNA from 16 species